rnacentral:rRNA from 1 species
AUUGAACGCUGGCGGCAGGCUUAACACAUGCAAGUCGAACGAGUGGCGGACGGGUGAGUAAUGCCUGGGAAACUGGCUUAUGGAGGGGGAUAACGACGGGAAACUGUAGCUAAUACCGCGUACCAUCGGAUGAGCCCAAGUGGGAUUAGCUAGUUGGUGGGGUAAUGGCCUACCAAGGCGACGAUCCCUAGCUGGUCUGAGAGGAUGACCAGCCACACUGGAACUGAGGAACGGCCCGGACUCAUACGGGAGGCAGCAGUGGGGAAUAUUGCGCAAUGGGGGCAACCCUGACGCAGCCAUGCCGCGUGUAUGAAGAAGGCCUUCGGGUUGUAAAGUUCUUUCGGUAUUGAGGCGUUAACUACAGAAGAAGCACCGGCUAACUCCGUGCCAGCAGCCGCGGUAAUUC